UGGAAGACUACUAACGUGCCUGCGGAAUAUGAAGGAGGCCGUGCUCGCUGCAAUUGUCGUCUUCCAGGUAGCAGGAAAGUAAACAGGUCCCGGACAGCCCAGCAGUGAGUGCUACUGUGCGCCUUGUAACAGGAGGACACAGAGCUUCUGGUUUUACUGCCUUGGCCUGGAGGGAGAGUGCAUUGCUUUUUUAAAAGACCAGCAUUCCCUGGAUAAGGGCCGAGAAGAGCCUGGGAACACUUGGACCGGACCAGACCAUAACCAUCAGUAACAGAGGGGCCCCGUUGUAAGGAAGAGGGACUGAUUGGCGUUCUCAACCACACCGAAUCUUGUCUCCCACUGGAGUAGCGUUUGCUAGUGAAGGCUGAUUUGACAGGGCUCCAGUUUGUUCCGGUCCUUUCAAGGGGUUGCUCUGACUGCCCGGUCUCUGGGUCAUCGCAGUGACACAAUCAAGAGCUUCUGACGGAAGCAAAGGCCUCACACCUUUCCAACAAGAUCAGAUAUGCAGACCUAGACUAAUAGAACGCAACUGCUAAUAAGAAGGAAAGAAGACGGGAGAUAAGAGAAGAGAGAAGUUCAACAUCCAAAAGCCACAAUGUGGAGAGGAAACCCGCACAGUUCUCAGAGGGAGCCAGAGUGAGAGGGAAAGAAGGGGAUAUCUCCUGCCCAGGAAGAGACUGUAGAGAGCUAAAUUAACAGUGUUUCUCUCACCAAAUGGCCAGCAGCCACAGACGGACAUGGAAAAUAAAACAAGAAAGAGAAGCAUCGUGUUUACCAUACCCUGUCAUUGUCUCCAAGGAAGAAAGCCAAGGUCCUCAUUAACCUGAACUUCUAGAAGGACAAGGUAACUGGAAAUGACAGACUUUUGUUUGAACCUUGCGGAUGCAGCAUUUUUUUUUUUUUGGUGGCUUGCCCAAAAGUGCUGCCCUGCUAUGGAAGCCUUCCCAGCGCCCCACCCUGGCAACCCUGACUCGGGUUUCCCACGAAAACCUGUCUGCCUAGUUUUAAAUGAAGGUGCCCAGCUUCCAAGUGAAAGGGGGGAUGCAAAGAAGAGAAGCAGGAGACAGAGCUGACCACGCCUCUUGCGUGUCAAAUGAGGACAGUGGAAAUUAAGAUAAAGCCAAAGCAGGAAAAAGCAGAAUGCUGGUCUGUGUAUACACCUUUCUUAAGGUUUGUGGGCACAAUGGUCCUGGGAUCUUGGGAUAUCCUUGGGUAAGGUGUCUUUCUUGAGGAGUGAUGGUCUUGAAACUUGAUGGCCGCCAAAAAGCCCUCCCAUUCCCCCACCCCUACCCCAUGCAAUGGCCUCUGGAUUCCUGACUCAUAAAUUCACAGGAUGGUGAAAUCUGCAGGCCAUAAAGGGUGAGUCUGAGGGAGUUCCUUACAAAUCCGUAGACUAGAGCUUUUAAGAAGGAAAGAAAGAGCCGAGAUAUUUGAGUUAGGCGUGGUGGACAGCCACUGGGUAAAUAAGUAGCCACAUGGCAGAGAAUGGAGAUUUAGAGAAAGCAUGAAAAAGGUCAACGAGCCAGGGAAAGCAUGGCUCUGGCCAGCACCUGGAGGAGAGAACAAGGAAGUUAUGCCAUUCUGAGUCUUAAUCCGGAGAGAGGGGCAGACCCAAAGGGACCUUAUGUAGCCUAAAGGAACUGCAUGGGAGUGAGAAUUCUGGGAGGGAAAAAGUACAUUAUCACAUUAAAAGGCCAAUUAUU